ACAAAGAGAUACAAGGUCCCACACUCUAUCUACUAUGCCACCCAGAUGUGCUUGCAGUCCAUCAAAAUAUCAAAAUCUUUUUUCAUCUGGAUCAAAGUGCAGUAUAUUUCCAGAUUGCUUUUUCACUCCCAUAGUCUGUAUUUAUGCAGAGAAUGCAGACUGAUUUUCAUCUCAGUCUAAGCCAAGCUUAAUUGGGAAGACUAAUCUUCUGGAAAACAAAGAAAAAUUCCACAAUGAGAACAGAAAGAGCAUGUAUUACAUGACAAAACAAAUAAACAGACA
rnacentral:lncRNA from 1 species